rfam:Oryza sativa Japonica Group DNA, chromosome 7, cultivar: Nipponbare, complete sequence.
AAAAAGACAAACCUUGGGUUUCUGUGUCCAACUUUAACUGUCUGUCUUAUAUGAAAUUUUUUUAUAAUUCGUAUUUUUAUUGUUGUUAGAUGAUAAAACAUGAUUAAUACUUUGAAAGUGACUUGUCUUUUUAAUUUUUUUCAUAAUUUUUUCAAAUAAGACGGACGAUAAAACGUUGGGCACGGAAACCAGGAUUUGUCCUUUUU